CCCAGACUCCUACGGGAGGCAGCAGUGAGGAAUAUUGGUCAAUGGCCGAGAGGCUGAACCAGCCAAGUCGCGUGAGGGAAGACGGUCCUACGGAUUGUAAACCUCUUUUGCCGGGGAGCAACGGGGUCCUUGCGAGGGCCCAAUGAGAGUACCCGGAGAAAAAGCAUCGGCUAACUCCGUGCCAGCAGCCGCGGUAAUACGGAGGAUGCGAGCGUUAUCCGGAUUUAUUGGGUUUAAAGGGUGCGUAGGCGAAGUGUCAAGUCAGCGGUAAAAUUUCGGGGCUCAACCCCGUCGUGCCGUUGAAACUGACACCCUUGAGUGAGUGAGAAGUAAGCGGAAUGCGUGGUGUAGCGGUGAAAUGCAUAGAUAUCACGCAGAACUCCGAUUGCGAAGGCAGCGUACCGGCGCCCAACUGACGCUGAAGCACGAAGGCGUGGGUAUCGAGCAGGAUUAGAUACCCGCGUACA
rnacentral:rRNA from 1 species